UGACCCUCUGACAAUGGCAAAGAGACACUUUGUUGGUGGCGUUGUUCUUAUAUCAGUCAAGGUCAGAGUAGAUUGCAAUCCUUUGUUCAUCCUAGCUUGACACCUGGCUUGGUGUCCAAAGCUGUUUUACACCUAGGACACAUAA